rnacentral:rRNA from 1 species
GACGAACGCUGGCGGCGUGCUUAACACAUGCAAGUCGAACGGAAAGGCCCUGCUUUUGUGGGGUGCUCGAGUGGCGAACGGGUGAGUAACACGUGAGUAACCUGCCCUUGACUUUGGGAUAACUUCAGGAAACUGGGGCUAAUACCGGAUAGGAGCUCCUGCUGCAUGGUGGGGGUUGGAAAGUUUCGGCGGUUGGGGAUGGACUCGCGGCUUAUCAGCUUGUUGGUGGGGUAGUGGCGUACCAAGGCUUUGACGGGUAGCCGGCCUGAGAGGGUGACCGGCCACAUUGGGACUGAGAUACGGCCCAGACGCCUACGGGAGGCAGCAGUGGGGAAUAUUGCACAAUGGGCGGAAGCCUGAUGCAGCAACGCCGCGUGCGGGAUGACGGCCUUCGGGGUGUAAACCGCUUUCGCCUGUGACGAAGCGUGAGUGACGGUAAUGGGUAAAGAAGCACCGGCUAACUACGUG